UUCAUUUUCAUUAAUAGAUAAAAAAACUGUACGUACAAAGAAAAUAGAAAAUAUAUAUGUGAUAAGUAAAAUACGUGUUUGCGAAGUGAUACUGAAAGAGAAUAAAUCAUAUUCGACGUUCAAUAGGCAGAAAAUUGAAACAAUGAAAAUAUUAUUAUCAUCAAGGAAAAUGUUAUGUCAAAUACUGUUUCGAUAUUAAACGAUCGAUUUACUUAUUGCGCAUAAAUACUUUUAUAAUCAUCAGAAGAGGUAUUUUAUCUUCUGAACAAUCACGGAUGGUACGAUGAAAUUUUAUUAUUUCCAAGAGUGGAUUUAUUAAUAAACACGAAUAUUAUA